GAAAGUCGUAACAAGGUUUCCGUAGGUGAACCUGCGGAAGGAUCAUUAUUGUAUAACCGAGGUGCGAGGGCUGUCGCUGACCCGAAAGGUCGUGCACGCCCGAGUGCCCUCACACACAUCCAUCUCACCCCUAUGUGCACCACCGCGUGGGUCCCCCUUUGGCUUGUUCGGAGGGGGGCUUACGUUUUCACACAAACUUUGUAUGCAGUGUAGAAUGUAUUUUUUGUUUUUGCGAUCACGCAAUCAAUACAACUUUCAACAACGGAUCUCUUGGCUCUC
rnacentral:misc_RNA from 1 species